rnacentral:rRNA from 1 species
AUUGAACGCUGGCGGCAGGCUUAACACAUGCAAGUCGAGCGUGCGGCGGACGGGUGAGUAAUGUCUGGGAAACUGCCUGAUGGAGGGGGAUAACUACUGGAAACGGUAGCUAAUACCGCAUACCAUCAGAUGUUCCCCGAUGGGAUUAGCUAGUAGGUGGGGUAAUGGCUCACCUAGGCGACGAUCCCUAGCUGGUCUGAGAGGAUGACCAGCCACACGAGAACUGUGACAAGGUCCAGACGCCUACGGGAGGCAGCAGUGGGGAAUAUGGCACAAUGGGCGCAAGGCGGAUGCAGCCAUGCCGCGGGUGUGAAGAAGGCCUUCGGGUUGUAAAGCACUUUCAGCGAGGAGGCGUUACGCGCAGAAGAAGAACCGGCUAACUCCGUGCCAGCAGCCGCGGUAAUAC